UACGUAGGGGGCUAGCGUUGUCCGGAAUCAUUGGGCGUAAAGCGCGUGUAGGCGGUCCGGUAAGUCCGCUGUGAAAGUCGGGGGCUCAACCCUCGGAUGCCGGUGGAUACUGUCGGGCUUGAGUACGGAAGAGGCGAGUGGAAUUCCCGGUGUAGCGGUGAAAUGCGCAGAUAUCGGGAGGAACACCAAUGGCGAAGGCAGCUCGCUGGGACGGUACUGACGCUGAGACGCGAAAGCGUGGGGAGCAAACAGG
rnacentral:rRNA from 1 species